rnacentral:lncRNA from 1 species
AUAUCUGUUUUCAUUGUGGAGGGAUCUAGUAGCGGGAUAAUGAUGAUGAUGUAAUGUAGAUUGCCAUUUUCUCUGCUGGAAAAUCCAGUUUAAGAAAGCCUUGUAGCUGUUUUUUUUUUUUGGAGCACACUAGCUGGUCCAUGCUGGUCAUUCACUGCUUGACCAGUUAACAUGUUCCAACUUGACCACCUUGAGCUAGUGUGAGCAAUUAGAAACCAGCUCCCAUGUUCUGAAGAAAUCUGGAUCAAACCAUUUUAAUCUGUUAGUUUAUUGACACAAAUCCAACUAUUUAAAAUGCUUCACGUUCCUUUUAUAGGGGGUUGUGCAUUUUAUUAUUUAGUAGGCCUUACCUUGUGUAAAAUGUAUUAAAAAUGUCACAAAUUAAUGGCUUGUCUAAAAAGAGUGUGUAAAAUGAAAUGUAUAUGAAAUGUGAAAAACUGUGUUCAGGUGGUCCUGCCUUUUAAGUGGAAAUACUGAAUGCAUUCUCUGGGACCGCAAUAAAAUAAUUCCAUUGAAGUAAAGAUUAGGGGAAGUUAAAUGCAGUUUCCUCAUCUUAGAUGGUUUAAGGUGGACUAUAGCUGAUUCUAAAACAACAGCCCAGUGAACCAGCUUUCUUUAAGAUGGAAACAGUUUGAGGAAAAGUGUUAAAAAUAUGUAUUUUUUUCACUUUCUAGGAGGCUACGACAGAUUUUCCACACAGUAUCCCGAUUACUGUUUGAAAACCAGAACUCUGGCAGUAUCCAGCCCUCAGUCCAGCGUGGAGAGCAGCUGCACCUCUUGCGGAACUCCACAGCAUGACCAGGGUGGCCCUGUGGAAAUCCUCCUUUUUAUUUCUUGGCAGUGCUCUCCAUGCAUCUAAAAAGGACAUGCUAGAUCGUAUGGGCAUUUCUGCUCUAUUGAAUGUAUCUUCAAAUUGUCCGAAUCAUUUUGAAGGGGAUUACCAGUUAUAAGUGUAUCCCGGUGGAAGACAACCAUAAGGAAGACAUCAGCUCUUGGUUCAUCGAAGCCAUUGAAUUUAUAGGUAUGUUCAACAUUAUAUUAUAUUAUACUAAAUUAUACUAAAUACAUAUAGAUUUUGUCAACUUUUGGAUGGUUAGGGUAGGUGAAACCGUUGUAAAUUGCUCUUGGUUGCUAUGGCUCCUUUCAACUGCAAAUAGCGUGCCAUUCAUCAGCAAUUAAAAUGUUGAUCUGCAUUGCAGAGCAUUUACAGCAAUUGCACCCUUCUUUUUAGUCUUGCAUUCUUCUUGGUCACUUAUGCAGGUAGCUUGAAGAAUAUGUUUGAAUGCGUUUUGAUGUGUAGAGUUCUUUGUAUAAAUACGA